AGUGAACGCUGGCGGUAGGCCCAACACAUGCAAGUCGAACGGCAGCACAGUAAGAGCUUGCUCUUACGGGUGGCGAGUGGCGGACGGGUGAGGAAUACACCGGAAUCUACUUUUUCGUGGGGGAUAACGUAGGGAAACUUACGCUAAUACCGCAUACGACCUACGGGUGAAAGCAGGGGAUCUUCGGACCUUGCGCGAUUGAAUGAGCCGAUGUCGGAUUAGCUAGUUGGCGGGGUAAAGGCCCACCAAGGCGACGAUCCGUAGCUGGUCUGAGAGGAUGAUCAGCCACACUGGAACUGAGACACGGUCCAGACUCCUACGGGAGGCAGCAGUGGGGAAUAUUGGACAAUGGGCGCAAGCCUGAUCCAGCCAUACCGCGUGGGUGAAGAAGGCCUUCGGGUUGUAAAGCCCUUUUGUUGGGAAAGAAAAGCAGCAGGUUAAUACCCCGCUGUUCUGACGGUACCCAAAGAAUAAGCACCGGCUAACUUCGUG
rnacentral:rRNA from 1 species